rnacentral:lncRNA from 10 species
CUUUUUUGCCGGUUCUUCCCGCUGAGGAAGUGUCGCUCAAGACGCUGGCCUAUGAGUUGUGAUUUCUGCCUUUUCCCCUUCCUCCUUGGGCUAAGCCAGACCAGAAAGGGCCCCGUGCGCAACGUGCUUCACAAUCUCUCAGGGAAAGCGGCUAACGUGGCGCUACUCCGCCUCCCCUGUUCCUUACCCUUGGGGCGGCCGCCAUGUUUCCUGAACACAAAAUGGCGACACGUGGUUAGCAUUCGUCGCCAACGAGAAAUUGGGGUCGGCCCGAAAGCUCUAGAAUGCACCCCUCUUCCUCCCCGGGGCCUUCCACCUCCGCGAGUUUUAUGACUUAAAAAAGCCCACAGGCUGGUCUGAAGAGGAAGACAAACAUAAAGAUGAAGUGCUUAAUUCAAGGUCACACAAUGUCGGGGAUGGACCUCCAGAUUUCCUUACUGACCUGCAUUAUCUUGUGGAUACCUGAGUGAAUUCCACACCACCCAUUUUAUAGAUGAAACCACUGAGACAUGGAGCAAUUGACUGAGUAGUCACUGCCCCACCCCUGCCUGGAGCCUCACACAUGACUCGCCUCCUCUCAGUGACCACAGGUUGGUUGAGGGGUUUAACAAGGCUAAGAAGGUGAGACGUGGUCUUGUAACACAGUGGUUAAGAAUGUGACUUUGGAGCCAGCCUGCUAGGGGCUGAAUUCUGACUCAGCCAUUUACUAACUGUGUGACCUUAGAAGAGAGGGACACAGAGGGAAGAUGGCCACAUGAAGAUGGAGGCAGAGAUUGCAGUUAUGCUGCUGCAAACUAAGGAAUGGCUCUGGCCCUCCAAGGAUUGCUGAUAACCACCAGAAACUAGAAGAGACAAGGAAGGAUUCUUCCCUAGAGCCUUCAGAGGGAGCAUGGCCCUACUGACACCUGGAUUUCAAACUUGUAGCUUCCUAAACUGCAAGAGAAUAAAUUUCUG